rnacentral:lncRNA from 1 species
CAAGACCGUGCCGCUGCCAGUCCAGAUCUGCGUUGCAGUUGUCCCGCGCGCCGAUCUGCCGUCUCCAUCUCCGUUCGCGAAGCAAAAUUGCCGCCGCUCGCCGAACCCAACCGCCACCCUCUCUUUUCUCCUUCGGAUCGAAACCGCCGUCCAGAUCUGCAUCACAACUGCCGCUCGUAACCGUCGGCCGGUUCGUGAAGCCAGCUGCGCAACCUUCGUUCCAACCGCUGCACUGCCGCGCGAUUCUCCAGCCACGUCUUCUUUAGCCGACCGCUGACCGACCCACACUUAGGAUUUUGCUGCGAGUCGACAGUCGUGCGUUGAGGUGUUGGGAGUAACCUUGGGCUCCCUUAAAUUCACAACAAAUUUGUGAAUUGUUGAGGGUUCAGUUCGCCAGUAUUUCGGUAAGUUGUGGAAUUUACAUAUGGAGUAAUUUGAAAGGUUGAAACUAUUUAGAACGAUGUUGAUUUUAUGAUUGAUUAUGUUUAGGAUUUGAUUCAUUGGAUUUAGUAGAUUGAAGAAUUUGCAUAGAAAUCGAGGUAAGGGAUUUUCUACUGGACUCACUUAUGAUUGUGAAUUGUAUGUCUGUAUGAUUAUCUCUGACUGAGUAAAGAUGAUGAGAUGAUAUAUAUAUACACACGUAUGGAUGUAGAUUCGGUGUUGAAUGUAUAUUGUGGAUUGACUGAAAAUAUAUAUAUGCAUAUGAAUUGAAGUAGACUUAAUGUUGAAUGCAUAUUGUGAUUGUCAUGGAAUAUAUAUAUGUGUGUGGAUGUGGACAGGACGAAAAUUGUAGAUUGUGCUUGUAUGAGAUGCAGAUGCGAUCUUGUGAUUGUCGUUUAGAUUGGGUGUACGUUACGCUAAAGUAUGACUGUGUGCUGGUGAUCUGAGGGGUGUAUUGACUGUAUAGUUUGAUUGAUUGACGUAUUAGUAUAUUAUUGACAGACAUAUGACUAAAGUGAGAUAAGUUGACUGUUAGGACGUUGAGAGAAAGAACUCUAUGUUUUGAAGUAACUAAAAGAUGGAUUGAAUGGAAUGAGGGGAUAAAUUGUUAGAUUGUAUUGGGAUGUUUACCUUGUAGGUGUCUCACUGGAUCACCAAUUUAUUUUGCACCUUCGGGAGCAUUUGACUGAUAUGUGUUUCUGCAGAACACUAGACUGAUAUGUACGUCCCUCGGGGCGUUAGACUGAGAUGUGUAUCCUACGGGAUCACAAGACUGCGACUGUACAGGGUGUCCCAAUAGAACUUUAACAAUUUAUUUUCCCCUAACGAGACCAGUAGAAGGUCUCUUACUGAGUAUUGUUAUACUCACCCUUCUUAUGUUUAAUUUUCAGCAAAGGUAAUAAUGGCGGCAAACAGGCGAGGGGCAGGAAGGAAGCGUGAUGCCAUAGGAAACGUGUUUUUGCUUCCGCUUAUGGAUUCUUGUGAGGUUUAAAAUGAAUUGAAAUUUAGUUUACAAACGUUGGUUGUAAAUAGUAUUAUUUUAUGUUUUCUUGAAUGUUUAAAAAUCAGGCCUGACUUGAAGAUGUUUUGUUUUAAAUUGCUUACGUUUUGUUUUAUAUUAAUCAAAGUCUUUAUUUGUUAAAAAUUAACGAUCUCGACGUACUUAGAAAAGUUGGGUCGUUACAUUAUGUAUGAAGGAUAGUAUAUUAAAUAUAAUAAAUUGAAAAACUUUAAUUGGUACCGUAGAUGAAAAUUUAUGAAAAAAUAUAGAAAUAAAAUAACUAAAUUAAAAACUGAAAUAUGAAUAUUUCAAAUAAAAGUAUAAAUCAACAUACUAAAAGUUUAAUAAUAAGAAAGAAAAAUUAGUUCAAUAAGGAAAGCUUGCAUCUCUUUCGUUUAUGACAGCCACAUUUAAAACUUCAUUUUAGAAUGAACUCUAAUAUUUUUUUGUUGACCAACUGAACGUUUUACAUUCAAUGGGAUGAUGUCAACUUCAAUUACUGUAUUAUUGAAUAUAUGCAUUAGUAUGUAUGUAACAAAUCAAAUAAAAUACUAAUUGAAUAUAGAAAAAUAUAAAGAAAAUGAUACAAAACGUGAAGGAAAAAAACUGAACUAUAUAUGUGUCACAAAAUACGUGUUAUUAUAUUUAUAUAAAUGUAUAUAUUGAUAACAUCACCUGUCUAUGUAGUGAUAUAUAUUGAAAUUCAACUAUAAAUUAUGUAGAACUAUAUGUCACUAAAUAUUUAUGUUGUAAAUAAGGUGUAUCUAUAUAUUAAAUCACAUCAUAAACAUAUUAUAAUUUACGAGUAUAUUAUAGUAUAUAUUGUUCAUUUAAAAAAUAUAUGACAAAUAGAAGGUAUAUAAUUAUACGAAGUGAGAAUAUGUAUGUAUGAUAUUCUCACUGCAUAUUAUAUUACACUAAGAAUGUGUAUUUUACUGUUUUAGUAGUAUUUACUAUAUAAAUAUAUAUUUUAAAUAUUAAUUAUGAUUGAUUAUGUUUAGGAUUUGAUUCAUUGGAUUUAGUAGAUUGAAGAAUUUGCAUAGAAAUCGAG